ensembl:misc_RNA Y_RNA Y RNA
GGCUGGUCCGAAGGUAGUGAGUUAUCUCACGUGAUUGUUCACAGUCAGUUACAGAUUGAACUCCUUGUUCUACUACUUUCCCCCCUCCUCACAACUGCACUUGACUAGUCUUAA